UACGUAGGGUGCAAGCGUUGUCCGGAAUUAUUGGGCGUAAAGAGCUCGUAGGCGGUUUGUUGCGUCGGCUGUGAAAUCCCGAGGCUCAACCUCGGGUCUGCAGUCGAUACGAGCAAACUAGAGUGUUGCAGGGAGACUGGAAUUCCGUGGUGAUAGCGGUGAAAUGCGCAGAUAUCAGGAGGAACACCGGUGGCGAAGGCGGGUCUCUGGGCG
rnacentral:rRNA from 1 species